AAUUUGAAAAAUUAAGUAAAUGACGAAAUUAUACUUUUUUUUUCUUUAAGUGGAAAGUCGAAUUUUUUGAUUGGUGUUAGUUGCGCAAUGCUUCAAAAGCAUGUCUAGGAUAUGAUUGGACUGCUGUAUAUUUUAGGGAUUUAGUGCUUUCGGAAGACCAACGCAAAGCUGUCACAUGGCAGCUGUCACCAAAAUUUCAAUGUCAAGCUGACGAACAAUUUAUUUCUAAAGUUAACAAGACCGGAAUAAAUUAACAUAAUAGAUUUAAAAUAAACUAGAAAUAUGGUUAGGGGACUGCUCAGUUUUAUUGUGGGACUUUAUGCAGGCGUUUACCUUAGCCAGAACUAUGAUAUUCCACGAGUGGACGACCCUCAGGCUUUAUUUGAAAAGAUCAAAGAUUUUGCUGAUAAACAUAGGAAGCAAUAGGUUGCAAACUUUAGUAGCUGUGUGAUUUAUUUAAAUAAAAUUAUGCUAAUACAUUA